UAGCAGAGGUCUCUAAGCGGUUGUUCGGAUUCAUUGGGCGUAAAGGGUGCGUAGGCGGCGCGGUAAAGUCGGGUGUGAAAUCUCGGGGCUUAACUCCGAAAACUGCAUUCGAUACUGCCGGUGCUUGAGGACUGGAGAGGAGACUGGAAUUUACGGUGUAGCGGUGAAAAUGCGUAGAUAUCGUAAGGAAGACCCAGUUGGCGGAAAGGCGGGGUC
rnacentral:rRNA from 1 species